CUCGCCGCCGGCGCCACCGCCAACCGCAGCCCGCUCGCCGAAGGCCGCCGCUGCUAGUACAGUACGAUUUAGGCUCGCUCGCUGUCUGCUCCAGAACUAUUAAAAAUGGAAGAAGAAGGAUUCUACACUAAUUUGUUGAACGAGGGCAACUACUCAGCUGAUUGGGAUGGUCAGAGUAGUCAGCAAGAGGAGGAUCAUACACCCUUUCUGAAGAAAGCUACUUCAACUAGACCUAAUUAGAAAAGGACAAAGAAUUUUAUUGAGAAGGAAGAUGUGAGGAUCCAGUGCUAGGCAUAAAUCAAACUCGUACUGCAUUUUGGAAGAUGAUUUAUGAUUACUUUCAUGAAAACAAGCAAUUCACAUCAUAUCGUAGCCUAAUUUCUAUUGAAAUUCGUUGGAGAACUAUUCAAGAAAAUGUUAACAAGUUUUGUGCGUGUGUUAGCUAAAUCGAGGGAAGAAGACAAAGCUGUGCUACUAUAGAGGACAAGAUUUUACAGGCGAUGGCUUUGUUUAGAGCCACAGAGGAUGAUAAGCAAUUUCAAAUUCUCUCAUUGCUGGUCUUUGUUGCGUUCACACCCCAAGUGGCAUAAUAAGAUGAAGCAAAUAGCAGCUGAAAAGGAUUAUGCAAAUAAAAAACAGAAGGCUAGUGCAAAUGCAUGUUCAGUUAGAAUUAGCCGUAAUGGUGAGAUGACUUCCCAUGAUGUAGGAGAAAUUGAAACUACAGAAAAUGAAGUGAUCAAGAGACCGAUGGGUAAAAAGAGGGCAAAAGAGCAACUGAAGAGAGGAGGAGGUGAAGAAUGUGUCGCAACUAUUGAGCAUCUAUGGGAGAAAGAAAAGAGAGUUAGAUGUGGAGAAAGAGAAUAAAAAGGAAGAGAGGUAUAAACAGUCUUAUAAACUACAUGUAGAUAGGCUUGAGUUAGAAAAAAAAGGGUUGCAAAGGAUACUGAUGAUGAAGUACAGUUGAAGAGAAUGUUAGAAGAAGAGAGAAUUACGACAAUAGAUUUUACUUCAAUGCCUCUUCUUCAACAACAGUAAUACAAGAGCCUAUGGAAUGAGAUAAUCGCUCAUCGCAAAAAAAAAAAAAACUCCAAUUGACCUUGUAAGUGUUUCUUAUUUGUUAGAAUUAUUUAUUGUGCUAUUUAGCUACUUGUCAUUCUCUUUUUGUUUGAUUAAGGGAUGCUUCUUGCAAAUAUUAAGGAGAUGAGUUGGC